GUUUCAUAGAAUUGUGGUCAGAAACGAUGCAUGGCUCGACUUUGAUCUUUUUGGAUUUGUUGAAACUUGUUUUGUGGCUAAUAUGUGAUCUAUUCUGGAGAAUAUUCCAUGUGCACUUGAAAAGAAUGUGUAUUCUGCUGUUUUAAGAUGGAAUG